rnacentral:rRNA from 1 species
GACGAACGCUGGCGGCGUGCUUAACACAUGCCAGUCGAACGGAAAGGCCCUGCUUUUGUGGGGUGCUCGUGUGGCGAACGGGUGAGUAACACAUGAGUAACCUGCCCUUGACUUUGGGAUAACUUCAGGAAACUGGGGCUAAUACCGGAUAGGAGCUCCUGCUGCAUGGUGGGCGUUGGAAAGUUUCGGCGGUUGGGGAUGGACUGGCGGCUUAUCAGCUUCUUGGUGAGGUAGUGGCUUACCAAGGCUUUGACGGGUAGCCGGCCUGAGAGGGUGACCGGCCACAAUGCGACUGAGAUACGGCCCAGACGGGUACGGUCGGCAGCAGUGGAGAGUAUUGCACAGUGGGCGGAAGCGUGAGGCAGCGACGCCGCGUGCGGGAUGACGGCCUUCGGGUUGUAAACCACUUUCGCCGGUGACGAGGCGUGAGUGACGGUAAUGGGUAAAGAAGCACCGGCUAACUACGUG